UUUCCGUAGGUGAACCUGCGGAUGGAUCAUUACAGAGUUCAUGCCCUCACGGGUAGAUCUCCCACCCUUGAAUAUUUAUACCUUAGUUGCUUUGGCAGGCCGUGGAAACUCCAUGGGCUCCGGCUUAUGCGUGCCUGCCAGAGGAAACAAACUCUGUUUUUAGUGAUGUCUGAGUACUAUAUAAUAGUUAAAACUUUCAACAACGGAUCUCUUGGUUCUG
rnacentral:misc_RNA from 1 species